rnacentral:rRNA from 1 species
GCCUACGGGGGGCAGCAGUAGGGAAUCUUCCACAAUGGGCGAAAGCCUGAUGGAGCAACGCCGCGUGGGUGAAGAAGGUCUUCGGAUCGUAAAACCCUGUUGUUAGAGAAGAAAGUGCGUGGGAGUAACUGUUCACGUUUCGACGGUAUCUAACCAGAAAGCCACGGCUAACUACGUGCCAGCAGCCGCGGUAAUACGUAGGUGGCAAGCGUUAUCCGGAUUUAUUGGGCGUAAAGGGACCGCAGGCGGUCUUUUAAGUCUGAUGUGAAAGCCUUCGGCUUAACCGGAGUAGUGCAUUGGAAACU